rnacentral:lncRNA from 1 species
GGCCUUUGUUCUCCUGAUGGAGGGGGUCGGGCGCGGGAUCUACUGGAGGAUCCUGGAUUCGUUUACCCAAGAGGGAACAGUUUUGAGACCCCCCGGAUUCACUGCGGAGUGGCCGCAGAGGCCGGGGUCGGCCUUUGCGCCGUGGCUUCGGGUGUUGUGGAGGCGCACAGAGGCACGUUAGUUGAUUUCCAGUGGUUUUUGGUUUCGGGGGUCUUAGGAAGGUGUGGCUCAUUUGAGCAGGAUGGAGAGAGAGGCUGUGACAAGGGUCUCUCCUCAGGGAUGACAUCAUCCGUCCACCUCCUUGUCUUCAAGGACCACCUCCUCUCCAUGCUGAGCUGCUGCCAAGGGGCCUGCUGCCCAUCUACACCUCACGAGGGCACUAGGAGCACGGUUUCCUGGAUCCCACCAACAUACAAAGCAGCCACUCACUGACCCCCAGGACCAGGAUGGCAAAGGAUGAAGAGGACCGGAACUGACCAGCCAGCUGUCCCUCUUACCUAAAGACUUAAACCAAUGCCCUAGUGAGGGGGCAUUGGGCAUUAAGCCCUGACCUUUGCUAUGCUCAUACUUUGACUCUAUGAGUACUUUCCUAUAAGUCUUUGCUUGUGUUCACCUGCUAGCAAACUGGAGUGUUUCCCUCCCCAAGGGGGUGUCAGUCUUUGUCGACUGACUCUGUCAUCACCCUUAUGAUGUCCUGAAUGGAAGGAUCCCUUUGGGAAAUUCUCAGGAGGGGGACCUGGGCCAAGGGCUUGGCCAGCAUCCUGCUGGCAACUCCAAGGCCCUGGGUGGGCUUCUGGAAUGAGCAUGCUACUGAAUCACCAAAGGCACGCCCGACCUCUCUGAAGAUCUUCCUAUCCUUUUCUGGGGGAAUGGGGUCGAUGAGAGCAACCUCCUAGGGUUGUUGUGAGAAUUAAAUGAGAUAAAAGAGGCCUCAGGCAGGAUCUGGCAUAGAGGAGGUGAUCAGCAAAUGUUUGUUGAAAAGGUUUGACAGGUCAGUCCCUUCCCACCCCUCUUGCUUGUCUUACUUGUCUUAUUUAUUCUCCAACAGCACUCCAGGCAGCCCUUGUCCACGGGCUCUCCUUGCAUCAGGGCUAAUCUCGGGCCUUGUCGAAGGAAGAGGCUGCAGACGUUAAUGAGGUUAGCUGCUGGAUUCCAGUAUUCGUCGCAUAAGGAUCCUUCUUUGUCUGCGAAGGAAAAACACACUGAUUAUCAUAAUGAGUUCCUGACCUGGCCAUCCCGGGGUGCCCUUGACCAGCCCCGUGUCUCCUCAGGGUGUCCCAGCACCAGCCUGGCACAGAGUGGGGCUCAGUUAGAGUAUGUGGGAUGUUGGUUUCGCCAGGUGAGUGAAUGAAAGGACUCGACCACCACAGCUGAGCCACUAGCUGGGCCAUGCGAAGAGUUCUAGGUGCAAAGGCUGGAGGGUGGAAUUCAUUUUUGAGAGGUGUGUGAGCAGCUUCCGACCCCUGCCCCAUUUGAACGGGGGCCUUGCUGGUCGCGUCCCUGCAUUCACCCGCGCGGCCAUCCCGUCAUCCAACAGUUGAUCCUAACUGAGCACGCCCACGGCCCUGGUCUGGCCUGGGCACCGGCCACCGUAGCCCAUCCCUUGAUGGCCUCUGUGUCCCCAGGAGGGCGGGCCGGGGGGUUGCCCAGGGGCUGGAGCAGUGGACUGUGGCUCCAUAGAGGUAGGCCGGAGGGUGUGAGGGCAGAUUCAAGCUAUCCCCAGGGCUCUGCUCUGGUCGGAGCCAGCCCCUUCUCCCUCUCUGCCUUCCCCGCCCCAUUCCUGAUGCUGAACUGUUCUGGACCCCUGGCCCUGAGUCUCUCAGGACCAAAGUGGGCACGGGAACAGCUGUAGUGUGUGCCCCCCCGGGCUUUGGCCACAGGUCUCCCUCUCGAGGUGUGGUUGUGACUGCGACCCUUCCCUUGCCGUGAUGCCUUCCUCCCCCGGGGCUUGGUCCAGCUCCUUCACUCUCUAGCAGCUGCUGGGGCCCACCUCCCAUGCCGAGGACCAGCAGGGGAAACCUCCAGGGAGCAUCUGCAGGCUCUGCUUCUGCCCGGCUGCUGGCUUGCUCUCCCUGGUGGCUCUCCAGCGGCCAGCUUCCUCACCCACCCGGCACUCCGCUUUGCUCUGUCUCCUGAGGUGGGCCUGACCAACCUCCCCUUCUCUGCCUCAGUCCCUGGGCUCCAGGGCUCAGCUCCACAGCCCUCUGCCUAGCAGGCUGGUUCUCCCUGCCAAGCCCAUACCUGUGGUCACCUGGCCCUCCUGUGGUCUGAGUACCACUCCCCUGCCCCAGGAGCCACUCCCACUCCAGCUGCCUGUUUCCAGCAGGUUCCCAGUGCCCCCGACAAGCCCCUGCUGGUGUCUCCAUCUCCUGCCAAGCAUCCUCCAGUGCCUCCUCCUGUGGGCCUGGCCUCAGGGCUAUGGACAGACUCCUGUCCCAUCCCAGAGACCCCUCGUGAUCGUGCCCUGUAGUCACCCCACUCCACCGAAAAGUAAACUGCAGGCACGUGGGCCGUGGCCCGGCUGGGUCGGCUGAAGAACUGCGGAUGGAAGCUGCGGAAGAGGCCCUGAUGGGGCCCACCAUCCCGGACCCAAGUCUUCUUCCUGGCGGGCCUCUCGUCUCCUUCCUGGUUUGGGCGGAAGCCAUCACCUGGAUGCCUACGUGGGAAGGGACCUCGAAUGUGGGACCCCAGCCCCUCUCCAGCUCGAAAUCGGCAGACUAGGAUGGAAGUGCCCUGUGAGCUGGGGGGCCCUUCAAAGGGCCAAGGAGAAAACGCAGGCCGAGGGACCAGCCUUCCAAAUGGGCUUCAAGCUCCAAUGACCUCCGCUCGCCCCCUCGAAAUGUCUGGAAAACAUAAUGGGCAGAUUUUCUGUCUUCAAAGUUUCCGGCUAAACCUCUUCAAGUUCUUUAUUGUUUGGGACUGAGACACUCAGCCAUGUUAAUGGGUAGUUUCUUUUGUAUUUGCCUUGAAAGGCCAAAAUAUUUUUAUAUUGCCACAGACAAAGCCACCUAUUUAAAAAUGAACUCCAUGUCCGUCGUUUCCCACCAGGAGACUAUGUACCAUGUGUGUGUCUCUAUGUAUUCUGGGGUCUUGAAACAGGUUUCUCAUGGGGAUGGUCAUUCACCACGGUCCAGAGGGGCAGAACAGGCGGCGCUUGCCUUGCCCAGGGGGCCUGGGGAACGUGGGCCCUCAUCUCAGAUCUGCCCCCAGUAUGUUUAGGACGCGAGCCCCAGAAGGAUCUGGGAGUAAACUUAACAUUCACUGUGUCUCUGCUCUGCAUCCGCCAUUUGUGUGUGUUUCUGGACUGUGGGCUGUGUGUACCUUGGUUGGUGACUCAGUGAGAAGAAGCAGGAAUGCCAAAGAUACUGUGAAUGUUCUGAGUUUUGUUGCUGUUGUUGUUGAGAGGUUGUUUCACUGGUAUCUAUUGCAUUGUAUAAUAAAUGACCAGAUGAAUGAAUGAGUGAAGCAAGAGAGAAUGAAUAAACAAGUAAAUAGGUAAAGAAGUAAGCAAGCCAGGAUGAGAGUGUGUGUACACAAGACCAUGGUUCAUCCGCUUUGAUGGCUAGGCAAUCAAUAUAUAAAUAGAAAAAAACCAGUGAAUCACUAAGUAAUAGGGCAACACACAAAGCGAUAUCAGGUGAUUAUGGACUAAGGGGUAUGUGUAACUCAAAUAUAUGCCUCUGACAUUUGACAAUGAAAAAGAACCUAAAUGAAAGAAAGAAUGGAUGUAUGAGUAGUGAAGUGCAGAAUGAGACAUAGAUUUUGAGGCCCGUCAAAAUGAAAAGAUGCAAGUUAGGGAACAAGUGAUCAAAAGGGAGAAGGGAAAGGUUUUUUUUAAAAAACCAAAACAACAAAGAAAGGUUAAAAAAAAAAACAGACUAGAGGAUGAGUAAUGAGUAACUCUGUAAGGAGGACCAUGUCAGACUAUUGUAAGCUAAGCAUUAGGACUGAUACAAAUAAUAUAUGCUCCUGGCAUAGAAAAAUAAACCACAGAGAACGAGUUCAAAGAAUAGCAAAGAAAGAAAGAGGACCCAGUGGGCGAAAGAUGAGAGUGUACUUUUACCAAAAGUUAUCUAAGCCUGAGCACUUGAAGUCUGCACAUAAAUAAAUAAAUGACAAAAGAAAGAAAAAAAGGCCAAAAAGUCUACAUUGCGUGUGUGGAUGGAUGAAUGAGCAGUGGGAGUGCAGCGCCAGGUGACAAGAUGUUGUGAGGGGUUUUGAGUCAUCCAGUCCUGGGCACUGAGGUCUGUUAGAUGAAAGGAUAUGAGAAAGGUAAUAUUGGUAAAUAAAGAAAUAGGAAACAAUGUAACAAAUGUUAAGUACAGAAAUACAUUAAUGGGUGGUAAAUAAAGAUGUAAAAGAAGGCAAUGCGAUCGAUGGUGGCAAAAGAUCAUCACAGAUUAAGGGCUAUGGCUGGUCCACUUCUAGAAAACCACAGGCUGUCCAUUAAAUAAUGAACAUCUAAGUGAACAAGUCAGUGAGUACCUAAAUAGACAAGGAUGAGGUGAAUGAGAAGACAUGGCCCCAUGGGUCCUCCUGAUGAGGGUGUUGGGGUCCCCCCUGGGCACCCCAGCUGCAUGAAAAUGAAGGACAGGAGGUAUGGAAAGCUAUGACAGAAGAGAGAAAGGAACGGUAAAAAGAAAUAACAACCAAAUGGAUAAAUGGGUAGAUCCACGAGAAGAGUUAGGCUAGGACUUGUCAUAAGGGCACCUGACUCCACUAAUAGAGGAAUAAAUGCCUAAUAAAAAGAGAGCAAGCAGGAAGGAAGGAUGCUAUGAAUGCAGGAAGGAAGUAAUGAGUGAGACGUGGAACCGCACGGCCAAGGAUGGACGUUUGCGGGUGGCUUUUUGAUGCGUACAGCCAAGCCACUCCAUGGCAAUGAGCUCCGAAGACAAAGUGCAAGAGAGAAUGAGUGAGAGAGUGAGAGAGAGAGAAACAAUAAAAAAUGGGAAGAAAUGUAAAAAGGAAGAAAGGAAGAGAGGUAAUAUAUUAAGGAAUAAAUACAUGCAUGCAGAUUUAAGACAGAGCCAUGCUAGAACAGGAAUGAAAGGCUGUGUGAACCAAGCAGACCGCUUAAUUGGCACCAGUGCUGCUGGUAUGGUCAAUCACCUACUCAACUAAGGAACGGCUCAAAGCAUACACAUGGGAGGGAGGAGUGGGGCCACAGAGAGAGGGCCCAUUAGUUGCAGAUUACGAUGUAUCCAGUUAGGUGCACCUGCCUUCGAGAAGUGUAAAAAUAAGUAUUUACAUAGAAAGAAAGACUGAAUGGAUGCACGGUGAAUGCAUGAAUGAUUGAACGACAGAAAAGAUUUGCAUUGACCGAUGAGGAGGGCAUUGUAGACAGGGAUGAGGGUCAUUGAUCCUGGGUGCAGAUCUCCAAAAGAAUGACAGAAAGAAAGAGGGAGUGGUGGAAAGAAACAAUAGGAUGGGAAAAAAUGAAAAUAGAAAAAAGGAAGUGAAAGAGAUAAUAAAUAAUUAGAUCAAAUAAGUUGAUGAAAGGGGACUGGUUUAGCACAAGCCAUCCACAUUAAUUCAAACCUGUGGCUCUGAAGUUUGUUUUUUAAAUGACCACAAGUGUAAGACUGAAUGAAAGAAUAAAUGCGUGCAUUCCAUAGGAUGCAAGAAAAGGAGUGAGGAAUGGGAAAAUUGGAAGAACGAGAGAGGGAGAGAUGUAAGAAAAGAAAGGAAAAGUGAAGUAGGCAUAUGAAAGAAAAGGCACUUCUUGGACAAGCACUGAAAUAUAAUGAGACAGUUUUACCCAUUAAAUAUAAUAAACAGUAAACGUUGAGGUUCAUCAAUAAAAGCACAGAUACCUGAAUAGAGGAGUGACCUGAAUAGAAUUCGUUCAGCCGAACGAAUGAGAAUGGAUGAUUUUCACUAUCCUGUGCACUCAAGGCCCAAAAGAGAAAGCAAGAGAGGAGAGAAUAUGGAAACGUAUGACAGGAUGUAUAUAAGCAAUACAAACAUAUUGAAUGAAUAAAUAAAGACAUAAAUAUGUGGGAGAGUGGACCACGCAAGGACAAAAAGAGGAGAGAAGGCAGCAAGAAUUAUGACUAAUUCAAAACUGGGUUCCUGAGAUAGUUAAAUAAAUCCUGCACCAAAUCCCCAGGGGGAGAAAUUAACAAACAAAAGACAGCCCCACACGGACCAGUGUGCAGAAGGCUCCAGGAACCGCAGAUUAUGGUUAAUCCAAUUCUGUGCACCUGAGGUCCAUAAAUAAAAGAAUAAGUAUUGAAAUGAAAGAAUGACAGAAAGAAUGAAUGGACACAUGAACGACUGAAUUAGAAAUGGAAAUGCCUGGCACAGCCAGGAAGGAGCUGCCCAUGGGAUUGUCAUUCAUCUCACUCUGGGCACCUGAGGUCCAUAAGCGUGAAAAGAGGCAGGAAGAGAAGUGUCAGGGAGUCAAAGAUAGAGCUAAGGAAAGGCAAAAAUGAAACUAAAUGAAAGCGAAAGGGAAAAUAAAGAAAAACCAAUAAAAAAGAGAACGAAUACGUGGGUGUAUCUGUAAGAGUAGGAUCUGUUAGGAUUAGUCAUAAGACUGUCAGUAAUCCUGAAGAUGGAUGAGAUAAUCCAGGCCCAGGUUCCCAGGGGGAGGGAAAAUGGAGAAAAUAUAAAAAGAUGUGAAAAAGGAAAAAGGAAAGGUAAUAAACAAACAACCAAAGUGAUAAAUGGAUAGUUAAGGGAGGUUGUCUGAACAGGGAUUAUAAUUAGUUUACAUACAUACUCCUUAAACAGAUAAAUACAUUACACCUUUCAAAGAAUAAAUGAAAAAUAGAGAGACAUACCUGGCUCCAAAACAAGGCUGUAUCUUCUGCCACUGUAAUAAAAUAGAUGCAAUUGAGGUUCAUAAAUAAAAGAAUAAAUACUUAAACGUGAAAGGUGACUAAAUGCGGGGAAGAAAGAUUGCAAAUAAAUACAUGGGCCAAAGAUGUUUGGUUUGCCCAUGGAGUUUUAAUUAAAAAAAUUAAUAAGGAAAACAAAUACCCAAAAUAAGGAAGACUGACAAAUGAGUGAGUGGAUGAGAGAGUGAAUGGUGCUUGACGUAGGAGCAGUAGUGCUUUAGGGACCAGCAUGAAGGUGGUGACCGGGAGCCCUGAUUCAUGGGAUUCUGUCCACCUGACUUUAUAAGAACCAAGAAUGGCUGGGAAUGGUGGCUCACGCCUGUAAUCCCAGCACUUUGGGAGGCCGAGGUGGGCGGAUCAUGAGGUCAGGAGUUUGAGACCAGCCAGUUUGAGAUCAGCCUGGCCAACAUGGUGAAAUUCCAUCUCUACUAAAAAAAUACAAAAAUUAUGGGCGUGGUGGCACCUGUCUGUAAUCCUAGCUACUCGGGAGGCUGAGAGAGGAGAAUUGCUUGAACCCGGGAGGUGGAGGUUGUAGUGAGCCAAGAUUGCACCACUGCACUCCAGCCUGGGCUACAGAGCAAGACACUAUCUUAGAUCAAAAAAGAAAAAAAAAAAAAGAAGGAGAAAGAACCAGAGAAACAUAAGGAAGAGUGAGAGGAAGAAAGAAAGAUGCAAUUUGGGAAGAAAUGAAAAAGAAAUGAAUAAAGAAUAAAAUAAUGUAACGGUCAAUAAAUAGGACUUGUGAAUGGAGGCCUUUAGGCCAAAGGCUAUGAUUAAUUUCAAGCUAUGUUACUGAAGUCCAUAAACAAAGGACUCAGAUCUAAAUGGAUGAACGAAUGACUGGAAGAAAGGGUGGUAGGAAGGUAGGAAGAAAGGAAGGAGGGAAAAAGGGAAGAGAGGAAGGAACCUUCUUUCCAGUCCUGUGUUCUAGACAGUGGAAUGAAGUGGUCCCCAGGGAGGGUGGCUGUAGGCAUGUCAUGUGCUUGUCACAUGCACUUGCCCUGGCAGGGAGGAGCUGGCUCAGGAAGACCCUGGUCUUGGGGUGCUGUUGCCCUAUCUUGGCUGUGUGGGCCAUUUCACUGCAUCUGUCUCUUCCUCAGUUUCCCCAUCUGUAAACCUGGAGUGGCACCAGCUGCCUACUAGAGUUGAUCUUAUGUGUCUCUGUUGAUGGUACCCCAUCUAUGGCCUGGAUAGGCAGGAAGGGCUUGGACCCUGAGCCCCGCAGAAGGUUGCAUGAACGAGUGGUGUGAAGCCUGUUGGGUAGCUUGGCCACUCCCGCGGCAUGGGUCACCUGCACAGGAGGUUUUGCCCACCAGGGGGCAGCAGAGGGUCAGGGAGCAAUAGGCCCUGGGUGGAGCAUGGGCCCCGCCUGCUGUGUGCCACCCUGGGUGUGGCACCUACUCACAUCCAGGGGUUGGUGCAGGGAAAGGCCAGAAGGUGGCCAGGCGCACCUGAGAAGGGGGACCCAGAAGCCCCGGGACCCAGGAGCCCUGGGCAAGCCACCAGAAACCUUGUUCUUGCAACUCUCUGCAGUGUGCCCAGGCCACCCUCUGGCCUGGUCUUCCAUGGGGCAGGGCGCCCACCCUUCUCAACUCAGGUUUCCCUGGGCAGCAGGUGCACCUCAGCACCCCUGGGGUUGCAGAAGUGGUCCGGGGACCCUGGCUUCCUUGACAUGCCAUCCCCAGAGCCUGGUUCAAGGCCUCUCUGUCUUCUCGGCUGUUUCACGACGUGUUUUGUAACUUGGCGGGAUUGCGUUUCGCUGUGUCGAGGUUGUCUCUUCUCUGACUCGCCCUCCGGGGGACUGCCGGGGUAAAUCUGGAGAGUUGCUCGUGCUGACAGUCCUCCCCCAGGGCCUCCCCGGUUCUGUUGAGUCUCCUUUCUCUGUAGUGGAGGAAAUGUGUGUAGUUUUGUGUUGUGUGCCUGUGUUUGUCUGUAAAAGCAAGGACCAAAGUCUCCCUUGUUGACCUCUCAAUUCCUAUUUGGGACAUAUAAAAACACUGGAUUCUUAACAAGCGCCCGGAGCAGUAGGAGCACAGCUUGGAUGGACUCAGGACUUGUGGCAGGGAGCACGUGGGAGGCAGGGGAGUGGGGUGGGGCCAGGCCAUCUGGAGUGGGAGGCGUCAUGCUCAGAGUGACUCUGUAGACGCUGGGUGGGAUGGGGAGUGCGGGCGCAGGCAUGGAUGGGGCUGUUAGCUAGUGUGAUGCUUGAGGUCUGAGCUGAUGGCAGCAAAGUGGGGUGCUCAGGAAUCAAAGCUAUGGGGUUAUAGACAGGAUAUGAAGGAGGGAGGGAGGCAAGAAGAAGGGGGUGGUUCCCACGCUUCUAGCUCCGGCCGAGUGGAUGGCAACAGCAUUUGGAAGGCGGAGGACAUGGAAUUCAUGUGUCAGGAGCCACCUUCCGAGCCUCCAGUACCACGUGUCAGGGCCACAUGAGCUGGGCCUCGUGGGCCUGAUGUGGUGCUGGGGCCUCAGGGGUCUGCUCUUCUUCUCUUUCAGAAUCUGGGGCUCCAGGCUAUGCCUUGGCUGGACUGAGGUCUGGGGGUGCACUUAUUAUCCCUGGGGACACCUGCUGAAGCUUCUCCCUGACAAGCUGUGUCACUGUUGGAUGAGGAUGGGGCGGGAGGGGUUCAGGGCAGAAGAAGACCGGGAGGGUCUUUCAAAAGAACUCAUGUACGGCUGUUAAAAAAAGUCAGCAGAGGCUCAGGAAGACUUAAAGUGUGCAGAAGGCGGGGAAGGGAGGGCCCAUUGCAUGCACCAAGAGGAAAUUGGAAGGAACAAGCGACGUUGGCUGCUAGGAGAGCCUGCUCCCAACAUCUAGGGGCUGUCCUGACGGGUCACAGUGGGUCGAACUGAGCCAAUGAGAGCAGCUCUGGGGAGACCCACUGGUGCCCUGGAGGCUGGGUGGGUUUGGGUUGGAUGAAUUCUGUGUGUCCUUUUGGAAAUGUGGAGGCCAUGAGGGGGGAUCAGGGCUCUUAGGGUUUUGACCCUUAAGAGUUUUGUAUCUGUAAUUCAAAGGUUCUUUAGUUCUGGGAUGCUGAGAUUCGGGAUAGGGUUCCUAAUGGCACAAAAGCCAGAGAUAAAACAUCCUUCACGUGCUCCCUACCCGGUUCUUUCUGUACCAGACCCACAAGGUCCGAGUUGGGAUCCUAGUGCUCCUGUCUGGUCAGGGCCUAUCUUUAUGUGUUCGUUAAACUUUUAACAAUGAGAAUUAAUUCUGUCUCUUGACAUUGUCAUUUGCAUGCUCCCCACACACAAAUCCUUUCCUGGUGACACCAGGAGCUACAACUCUCCUUGGCCUCCUCUUGUGACUCCCAACUCCCUCCUUGGGAAGCUUGGCCUCAGGACCUCUGGGAUAGACAGGCCACGAAUCCUGCUGUGUCCCGUUGUGUUCCUAAUAUAAAUGGUGUGGAUGGCACUUGACCUAGAGCAGUGGGAAAUGCAUGCACCACUCAACAUUCUGACAUGUCACCCAUUUUACAUUCUUACAGGCAUACUUUUUUUAAAAAAAGAGUGUCUAUUCUUUAAUGAGCAUCCCUUCUUUAAAAAAACCUAAUUGCCAUUAUUCACCACAUACACUUUUUUUUUUUUGUAUCCUGCCUCUUCUAUUUAAUUUUCUGUCAUCAACAUUUUCCCUUGUUCCAUGAAUCUUCAUAACCUCACUUGCUGCGUUGUGCCUUGUUGAGUGGCUAUGGCAUCAUUCACAGAACCAUUCUGUUAUUCUUAUGUAUAACCACCUUUUAAAAAUAUUAUGAAUAAUGCCACAACUAACUGCUUAAAACACCCUUUUUUUCAUUCUUAAGAAUUAUGUUCUUCCACCCAGAAAUUAUCAUUGCUUCACUACAGAUCAGUUUCCCCUGCUAGACUGUGAGCCCCAUAAGGGCAAGGAGCUUAUUGAAUUGGCCUUUGUAUCUCUGAUGCCCAACAUGUUGUAGACUAUAAAUAAAUGAUGAAUGAGUGGAUGGAAGAAUGGAGGAAGGAGCGAGUGAGUGAGUGUUUGGCUGAUGGAUAAGAGGGUGGAAGGAUAGGCGGAAGGAUGGAUUGGUGAAUGAAUGAAUGAAUUUCCUUUGGUUAAGUCUCUUGAAAGAAAGGCUAUGGAUCUUUGUAUGGAUGUUGAAUAAUUUCAGUAAGCUUACAGCAUUUUACAAUGUUCAGCAAUGUAUGACCACUUAAUUAAGAUAUGGCUAGUUUGUCUCUGUUAUAAAGUACUUUUGCAUUACUUUAACUUGCAUUGCUUUAAUUACUAAUGAUGGGUGAACACUUUGACCUAUGUUUGUUAACAAAUUGUAUUUUAUCUUCUGUGAACUGUUUGUCCAAGUCCUUUGGGUCAUGGCUUUCUGAAGAGACUGGUCCCAGAUGUCCUUGGGAUGUAGGGAGCCCAUAGCUCACUGGAGGCAUUCAAGGAACCAGCCAGGCAGCCCUCAGAGAAAGUAGUGUUUAGGAGAUUCUCAUGGUGUGGGGUUGGCCUAGGUGGCCUUUCAGGUCUGUUUGAUGUUAGGAUUUGCUUCUCCCUGGGAAGUGGGUGAUGGGGAAAAAGACACCUUCCAUUGGCAGGUGUAGACACUGCAGGCUGGACCUCCUGGGUGUGCUUGUGGACUCCGAUCUUGCCCUUGAUAAAACCCCUGUGGGACAGGAAUAGCUCUUUGAACCUCCAAGGUCCAGACAGCCACAUCCUAGCACCCUGUACAAUCAGUUAGUGGCCUUCCCACCAGCGCAGUCACUCAUUCCUAUUAGAUCCCGAUGAAGCCAGGCCCUGGGGUUUCCAUUUUCCCACCUCUUAGGGGAAUUGGGUUCCCCGCGUCCUGUGAUAUGUCAGCAAAUGUCCUCAGCCCUGGCCUGCACAUGUGGCCUCAGUGGUGGUCUUUGGGGUUUAACUGACGAAUGGAACAUUUUGGAUCAGGACUGAUGGGAGAAUCUCCUUUCAUUUUUCUUCACCUGGGGCAAUUACAUUCUAAGGAGCGGAAUAAAGGGCAUGUUCUGCCCAAAGCAUCAGGGCUCACAGGUCAGUCACAGCCAUUUAGGGAGGGCAUGUCACCCAAGGAGGGCUCGCCCUUCUUUCCAGAGCAUCCUCCGCUCUCAGCAGAGCUGCUUCUGCCCACCCAUCCCUCUACUAUAGCACUGAGCACUGUUUGCCCGUGUCAGAAUCCCUCACCCACAUGUUUAGCUUGGUAUCCGAGUUUGGGAGGCCGGCAAUGACUUUCAACAUGAAUUGCUCCAUCUACCCAUCCAUGCAUUUGGCCUACUUAUCUUGACCCCGUGCUUUUGGCCUUUUCUUCUCCUGAAAGCAAACCCUUUCAUUUUGGGUGGGCUGUGUAGCGCCAUGGGCUGUGGUUAUGAAGCAAACACCCUUUCUUGUAGCUGCCUCCUCCGGGGUUACUGCCCUGAGCACGUCCCAGCUGGAUCUCGUCUGCCACUGUCACCCAUAGCUUCUUCCCCAUGGUGCUUUCCAUGUGUCACACACCACGACUGUGACCCAGGGUCGGGGUCAAGAGUAGCCUGGGGCCAAGCCCUCCCACCCAUGAGCGGAGAAGUCCUCCCCAGGCCUCACCUUGCCUGGCGCAUGGUCCCUCCCAUGAGCUUUGCUUUCAGCCUUUCAGCUUCCUCCACAGGGUGGCAGUGGUUGUAACUCAUCCAUUCAUCCCUUCAUCCCUUCAUUCAUUCACUCACAGCCAACAGACGUUUUUAAAAAAUUAGCCAGUGCUAUACUAGAGCUGGCUCCCAAGGACCCGCUGCCGCAUUGCCUUUUGAAACAAAACAAUGAACACGUUGGUAAAGGGGCCGUGCUUGUGUGUCGGUGACAAGGCGAGAUCCCUGAGUCAGGUCAGGCUUGUAGAUUCGAGUUCUGUUGCGAGUUUGAUUGCCCCUCUGACUUUGUCCCCUGUACAACUAGGUUGAUUAGGAAUCAGCCAACUGUGUUCCCUGGGUGCUCAGAAAUCACAGCCCAUAUCCUCGAGAGGCCAAAAUGAGAGCCAGGGGGUUCCAAGAUGAGUGGCUGCUUCUGGCCGGGAGCAGGUUUUCAAGUCAUUAGAACACUCUGGCCUUUCCUGGAGGUGAUCUUGGAGCCAUUCCUGCCCCUUUCAAGAGGAGUUAAUGCCCAGCUCUGUUUAGAGAAAAUUGGGGGAGAUGAUUGCUCAUGUGGGUGAUAAGAAUCACCUCCCGUGCAGGGGUCUGCAUAGAACACUCCAUAGGCAAACCUGGGUGUCCAAGGCACGUGGCAUUUUGCAAACUCUGGGUGCAGCUCCGAGCUGUCCUGCAGGUCCCAGACCAGGUGAGAACUCCCUGAGUUCCUGCUGCCUGGGUCGGGGGUGAGGCAUAGGUCUUGGGGGUUCAACCUGGAAUUCUGAAUGUCAUUCAUUGCAUUGGAGAGGAAGGAGAGUAGGCAAAGCCAAGACCCUGGAACUGGACAAACUCGUGUGGUUUAAAGUCACUGUGAGAGCUGGAGUUGAGUCUGCCUACGGGGGAGGACUGCGGCACCUACCUCGCAGGGCUGUUGUGAGGAGCAAUGUAACCGUGAUUUUGAACUGUGAUUCUGGAAGGGCGGUGUGCGUGUCCCCGGGGGUGUGCCAGGGGAGUGAGGAGAAAAGGCCAGGGAGACAGCCUCACUCAGGCAGCUGAGUGGGAGAGCAUUUAUCUCUAAACCUGGAGGGGUAUAUGGUGGGACAGGAGGAAUUUGGGCAGGAACUUUCAUGCUAGGGGUUUGGGGGACUCGCUGGACAAUGCCCCUGGACCCCCCGGGGGUACGCGUUCACGCUCACCUCUGAGAGGCUGGAAACGCCUGGCUGUGCUUUCUGAAUGCUGUGUGCUUCCUGCCUCUGUGCCUGGCCUGUGUGCAGCACCUACUUGUGUCCGCCUUCAAAAGGCCCUUCUGGGUGGCGUCCUUUUCCCCAAAAUAUUAGGCACCAGCCAUCAAAGAUACUGCAUUGUUGCCUCCCCCACCCCUCCCCCCAACUGACAACAUUUGGGCUCAAAUGCAGCAGGCUGGGUGCCCAACACAGUGCCUGGCGAGUGGUAGCGCUUACGUUUCUUUUCUGUUGAAUGGAUGGAUAGCUAAUGAAAUUGUAACCAAUGACAAGCCUUGAUGUUUAUAACCUUUACUAAGAGAUUAUUAUUUUGCUCUUCAUGGACCUGUUAACAACCACCAUAUUGUAUCUUACGGACGUUUGUAUGCCACGUUUGAAGAGCAGGAGCCUUGUUUCGGCGUCAUGUUGAUGGAACUUGAGCUGUCUGAUGCGAAUCUGUGUUUUAUGUUAGAAAGCGCGUAGCCUUAGGAUCUGGCAGACCCAGGGGCCACUUAAUUAACCCUUUGCCUCUUUGACCCUCAAUCUCCUUUUCUCUAAGCCAUAGGUCACCUGAAAGCCUACCUCACAGGGCUGUUGUGAGGGCCGAGGGUGGGUGUGUUUCAACAGUGUGCAGAUGCUGGCUUUCCCUGGGAAUGGGCAUAUGUUGGGAUUUGUCUUGAAAGCAUGAGUGAUGGCUUUACUAGUCCUAAGUGAAUAAAAAGUCAGCCCUGACCUUACGCUGGGAUUGCAUUUCCCACAGUCAGUGGCAUGUGCAGACCACUGGCAGAGCAGCCUGCAGGUGCUUAGCGAUGUGGGCCCAGAGUAAAUAUUUGUUUGAUUGAUGAGUGAUGGCUUUUUCCUUCCUCAGAGUUUGCCCUGCCCCCCAUUCCAACGUGGGCUGCUGCUUCUCCCCAGCGGGUUGUAGCUGGCAGGGCCGUUGUGCUUUGGGGUUUGCUGUACCUGUCGCUGCCGUGAGGGGACGAUCUGUCUGCCCGGAGGGGUUUCUGCAAACAUUCAUGUAUGCCCCUGCUUUCGUUUGUUAGGGAGAAGGAGUGGGGUGACCUAGAGAGAGGAUGAGGAAGGGGUUCUGGGUGGCAUCCUUGGGGUACCAACCCUGCUUCCAUCCUGCGCUCUGAAUUUCCUCACAGCCCUUUUCUGUCUCUGGUAGAAGGUGCAGAAGGUAGGCUUUGCCACCUUCCCUGGGCCUGGCACCAAGCUCGGGGGUCUUGUACACACUUUCCCUUCUCUAACUGGGGUGUGGGCCCAUUUCCUAGAUGAGCUUGCUGAGAAUCAGGACAGCUGGUAUCAGAGCCAGGACUUCCCAGUCUUGCACAAACAACCUGUGCAUUUUUGAGUCCACCAAAUAAGGCCUCCUGCCUGGUCCGGCUCACCCCUGCCAGCCCCCAGCAAAUGCAGCCUGGUGCGUCCCCACCCCUGCCAAGAGCCCAGGAGUGCUCUGGCAGAGAAGUGCAGGGAUGAGGAAGGAGGCUGUGCCCUCCAGGGGACUCAGCUGCGUUAGAGGAGGUGCUGCUGCAGUGGCAGGGGUCUCCAGACAUCCCACGCAGGGGUCCUUUCAGAUCAGGCAUCUCUUCACCAGACCACCGUAUUCCUUUUUCAGCCCUCGUCUCUUGCACGUGGGGGUGCAGUGUUUGGCUCUCACAUCCCCACAUUCCAGCUGGUGGGGGUUUGAGCUGGGUGUUCCUUCUGCUCCCCACUCCCCACUCACGGCCCCCACCCCACGCAAGCCUCCCUUGCCCCCACUCUUUGUCUCCAGCUUUCACAGCCUUGGCGGGCAGGCUGCUGCGCCUGUUGCUGCCCCGGCUCUCUUCCACCCGCCUCUUCUUUCUCAGCCUGAGCUUUACCGUGAGGUCUGGGCGCCACACCUUGGCCCCUGCCAUGCCUGCUCCCAGAAGCACCCACGUGGGUCCCCUGAUUCUCUCCUCCCCUGGGCUUUGCUAAGGAGCCCUUUCAUUGUGGCCUUUGGUGUCUGCCUCAUGCCCAUCCCCUGUUCUUGAGAACUUGGAAGCAGAGGGGGCCCCUCCUAUUGCUCCCAAGAGGCUCCACAGUAGGGAGCCCCUCCCAGGAGAUUCUGAGUCUGUGUUUAGGUGUCGAUUCCUGGGUGGGCCUUGGGGUCCCCUCAGGCCAGGCCUGUGUGUGACCUAAGGCUGGGGGGCUCUGUCAGGCACCUAGUGUCCCUUGGAGGUGGGCGGGGCUGGGUCCUGGUCUCCUGAGGACGGGUGGGGAGACAGGCUCAGGGAGAUUUCCACGAAGCUGCCCUUGAACCCCUCCUCUGAGGCCCACACUGCCCUGGCCCUUUACACCCUGCCUCCUGCACUAGUAGGCACAUAAUAGAUGCUCGCCACCUGUGGAGGGCAGGGUUUAAAUGGCUGGAAAGAGCUGAGUGGGCUGUUUGGCUAGCGUACGCGCAUUUGUUUAAAAGGAAAGGGUGUGUUUCUUGGCAAAGACUCUUCGGAGGAAACGCUGAACUGGGGAUGGGUCUCUACCUGUUCUGGGGCCUCACUGCCCUUCCUGCCGGGGACAGGCAGUCACUGGUGGGUUUCCCCCCAGUGGAAACACAAUAUUUUGGAAAUAUUUGUAUCUAGGAUAAAACUUCAUCUGGACCAACAUGUCUUUGUUGGUGUUGUGGCCCAGGUGAUUUUGAGAAUGUAGAAUACAUUUGGCAAUUUCCAAACGGAGUGAUGACCUGCUCCUCCGCCCCCCAUGCCCUCCCUGAGGCUGGAGGCUUCAGAAGCCCCUGCCUUGGGAGGAGGCUGUUCUACCUGAGAAGUCUUUGUCCCCACCGUUGGUGACAAUCAGCAUUGACCUGUGAGGCACCUGCCAGGUUCGGGACGCAGCUUUAGACAUCCAGAAAACCGGGGGUGGAGGGGUGGGGUGGGGGCUUAAGACCCCAGAGCUUGAUUCCUUUUAACUGUCUCAUCCCCAAAGAAUGGUACAUGGGUACCAGGUAGGUUACUUGAAUCACCCUGAGCCUCGAUUUUCCCACCCGUUAGAAACAGGGUAAUUCAUGACAGUGUCCGCUUGGGAGACGGCUGUGACCCCUGAGAAUUCUCGCUGCAUGCCGUGGGCUGGCUCGUGAGACUCAAGGUCUGGGUUCGAGGCCCCCGCAACCCCUUCUGACUGUGUGGCCUGGGCGAGUUUGUUGUUUGUAACCUGGAAAGCGUCACACCUGCCUGGCACGGUUAUUGUGGGCUUCAAUGAGAUUGUUUGUGUGAAAUAAACGCUUUGUGACUGGCACACAGGCGCUCUCAUCCCGGCUCUCCUGGUGGGCCCGGACCGCUGGGUGCUGGCUGCGGAGGCCCUGUGCUCCCUGGAACUGUCUGCGCUGGUCCCAGGGACUCUUGGGCAGAGUGGAGGGCAAGGGGGAAAGCACCAGCCUGCUCUGGGGAGACAGUGGCAGAGGGAAGUGUUUGCUUUUAAAUACACUCAGCAGGUUCAGACAGGAGAGGAUCCGAGGGGAAAUGUUUAGAGCCCUCAGGAGGAGGAAGAGACCGAGUUUUAGGAAAAACAUCAAAGCUGGAUAGGUUGGGCAGAAGAGCUGGGGAUAGCAUUUAGAGAGGCUGAGAGUCCUGGGUUCUGGGUUAUCAAGGUGAGAGAAACCAGAGGUUGCCAGUUGUAGGUGGGCGUCAGGACUAGAGUGAUGCUUCCAGAAGUUUCUGCAAGUGGGCCGAGUCUAAGGUAGGGCAGGGUACGCCAGAAGUUGAGGGGCACUAGGUAGACAGGCCGAGCUGGUGGCUGGGUGCUCCCCUCACCCUCCAUGCUGCUAGGAGCCCGUGAGCAGGGACUUGCUCUCCUCUCCCUCCCUCCUGGGGCCUGCCUGUCUGUCUGUGAACUCUUGUCGGCCAGCGAGGCCGGGAGCAGGUGGCCUUCAUCUGCAACUGUGUCUCUCUCAGCCUCCACAGCCACGGGGACACCCUGCACCUAUUCCCACGGGACAGGCUGGACCCAGAGACUCUGGACCCGGGGCCUCCCCUUGAGUAGAGACCCGCCCUCUGACUGAUGGACGCCGCUGACCUGGGGUCAGACCCGUGGGCUGGACCCCUGCCCACCCCGCAGGAACCCUGAGGCCUAGGGGAGCUGUUGAGCCUUCAGUGUCUGCAUGUGGGAAGUGGGCUCCUUCACCUACCUCACAGGGCUGUUGUGAGGGGCGCUGUGAUGCGGUUCCAAAGCACAGGGCUUGGCGCACCCCACUGUGCUCUCAAUAAAUGUGUUUCCUGUCUUAACAAAAACUGAUGGAUGUGCUACUAAUA